GGGUUACUUGAUGCAUUUGAUAUCUACCUUGAACAGAUAGUGCACUUGACUAUUUUGCUGUGAUGAAGAGAAAUUGUUUGAGCCUUUGAGGCAAUGAUCUAUUGAGUGUUUUUGAUGCGCAGGAACAAGGAGGGCAAGAUUUGUUGCAACCGGUUCCUGUGCCUUAACACUGUGAUUCUGAGCAACUUAAAUUGUUGGAACUAACUAGCUCCACUUGUACGUGAUAAUUUAAGUUGUGCAGGUGCGCAAGAUUGAGACGCAGCAAACUGGAUGCAGAGAU
rnacentral:misc_RNA from 1 species